rnacentral:sRNA from 1 species
UUUCUACUCUCUUUUCAGAGCUCAGAGGAUGCUUCUCCAGCUCAGCAACAGGUAGCUCUGCUUGAUCUUCAGAGUGCUUUAUUCUGCUGCCAACUUGAAAUACAGAAGCUCCAGAGGGUGGUACGACAGAAAGAGCGCCAACUGGCUAAUGCCAAACAAUGUGUGCAAUUUGUAGAGGCUGCAGCACACGAGAGUGAACAGCAGAAAGAGGCUUCUUGGAAACAUAACCAGGAAUUGCGAAAAGCCUUGCAGCAGCUACAAGAAGAAUUGCAGAAUAAGAGCCAACAGCUUCAUGCCCGGGAGGCUGAAAAAUACAAUGAGAUUCGAACCCAGGAACAAAACAUCCAGCACCUAAACCAUAGUCUGAGUCACAAGGAGCAGUUGCUUCAGGAAUUUCGGGAGCUCCUACAGUAUCGAGAUAACUCAGACAAAACCCUUGAAGCAAAUGAAAUGUUGCUUGAGAAACUUCGCCAGCGAAUACAUGAUAAAGCUGUUGCUCUGGAGCGGGCUAUAGAUGAAAAAUUCUCUGCUCUAGAAGAGAAAGAAAAAGAACUGCGCCAGCUUCGUCUUGCUGUGAGAGAGCGAGAUCAUGACUUAGAGAGACUGCGCGGUGUCCUCUCCUCCAAUGAAGCUACUAUGCAAAGUAUGGAGAGUCUCCUGAGGGCCAAAGGCCUGGAAGUGGAACAG